CGCCAGACUCCUACGGGAGGCAGCAGUGGGGAAUAUUGCACAAUGGGGGAAACCCUGAUGCAGCGACGCCGCGUGAGUGAAGAAGUAUUUCGGUAUGUAAAGCUCUAUCAGCAGGGAAGAAAAUGACGGUACCUGACUAAGAAGCCCCGGCUAACUACGUGCCAGCAGCCGCGGUAAUACGUAGGGGGCAAGCGUUAUCCGGAUUUACUGGGUGUAAAGGGGGCGCAGACGGCGAUGCAAGCCAGGAGUGAAAGCCCGGGGCCCAACCCCGGGACUGCUCUUGGAACUGCGUGGCUGGAGUGCAGGAGGGGCAGGCGGAAUUCCUGGUGUAGCGGUGAAAUGCGUAGAUAUCAGGAGGAACACCGGUGGCGAAGGCGGCCUGCUGGACUGCAACUGACGUUGAGGCCCGAAAGCGUGGGGAGCAAACAGGAUUAGAUACCCCCGUA
rnacentral:rRNA from 1 species